CAAUGGGGGAAACCCUGAUGCAGCGACGCCGCGUGGAGGAAGAAGGUCUUCGGAUUGUAAACUCCUGUUGUUGGGGAAGAUAAUGACGGUACCCAACAAGGAAGUGACGGCUAACUACGUGCCAGCAGCCGCGGUAAAACGUAGGUCACAAGCGUUGUCCGGAAUUACUGGGUGUAAAGGGAGCGCAGGCGGGCGAUCAAGUUGGAAGUGAAAUCCAUGGGCUCAACCCAUGAACUGCUUUCAAAACUGGUCGUCUUGAGUAGUGCAGAGGUAGGCGGAAUUCCCGGUGUAGCGGUGGAAUGCGUAGAUAUCGGGAGGAACACCAGUGGCGAAGGCGGCCUACUGGGCACCAACUGACGCUGAGGCUCGAAAGUGUGGGUAGCAAACAGGAUUAGAUACCCUGGUAGUCCAAGGGCGAAUUC
rnacentral:rRNA from 1 species